UAAAUACUAUAAUCAAAAUAGAAAAAAUUCAAAAUAAAAUUUCUUAUAUUUACUCUGUUUAAAUUAAUCUAUUAACAAUUCUAAUAUACACCAAGAUUUAUGAACAUAUUAUAAAAAAAUAUAGUAUAACAUCGGACUGAAAUCACUAAAUAUUUCAACACCCACCGCAAGUUCACCAAUUGAGAGGUAGAUUACCUUUUGUAAUGUAAUCUCAUCAAUCCCAAUAAUGCUCCUCUUAACAACACUUGAAUCAUCUUCUAGGUCAUAAUUUGUUAUAUACUCCUCCACGAAUUCUAUAUCAAUC
rnacentral:lncRNA from 1 species